GACGAACGCUGGCGGCGUGCCUAAUACAUGCAAGUAGGACGCACAGUUUAUACCGUAGCUUGCUACACCAUAGACUGUGAGUUGCGAACGGGUGAGUAACGCGUAGGUAACCUGCCUGGUAGCGGGGGAUAACUAUUGGAAACGAUAGCUAAUACCGCAUAAUAUUAAUUAUUGCAUGAUAAUUAAUUGAAAGGUGCAAUUGCACCACUACCAGAUGGACCUGCGUUGUAUUAGCUAGUAGGUGAGGUAACGGCUCACCUAGGCGACGAUACAUAGCCGACCUGAGAGGGUGAUCGGCCACACUGGGACUGAGACACGGCCCAGACUCCUACGGGAGGCAGCAGUAGGGAAUCUUCGGCAAUGGACGAAAGUCUGACCGAGCAACGCCGCGUGAGUGAAGAAGGUUUUCGGAUCGUAAAGCUCUGUUGUAAGAGAAGAACGGGUGUGAGAGGGAAAGUUCACA
rnacentral:rRNA from 1 species